rnacentral:misc_RNA from 1 species
GUUUGGUGCAUCAGCAGACGCCCCUUGUGCCACAAUUGGCACUGCCUCAAGCAGCUGCAGGGUCUUAUGGUGUGCGCCAACACGGCCCGUUGGUCCAUUCACAGGACAUUCAUCAAGCUAGCAGUUUUGUGCAUCAGCAGAUGCCCCUUGCACCACAAUUAGCCCAACAGUCUGCACUGCUUCAGGAAGCUGCAGGGUCUUAUGGUGUGCCCCAACAUGCCCCUUUGGUCCAUUCACAGGAAAUUCAUCAAGCUAGCAGUUUUGUGCAUCAGCAGAUGCCCCUUGCACCACAAUUAGCCCAACAGUCUGCACUGCUUCAGGAAGCUGCAGGGUCUUAUGGUGUGCCCCAACAUGCCCCUUUGGUCCAUUCACAGGAA